UCAACCCUCAAGCGCAGCUUGGUAUUGAGCCCGUGUCAGCGAUGGCAGGCUCCAAAAUCAGUGGCGGCGCCGCUGGGCCCUGAACGUAGUAAUAUCUCUCGUUACAGCGCUCGGCGCGCUUCUGCCAAAACCCCAACUUUCU
rnacentral:rRNA from 1 species